CCGCCGCCGCCGCCGCCGCG
rnacentral:misc_RNA from 1 species